rnacentral:snoRNA from 1 species
UGGCGAUGAUGAGUCAGUUGUUGUUCUGAACUUCCUUGAUUAAAGCAUGUGCAAUCUGAGCCACCA